GACGAACGCUGGCGGCGUGCCUAAUACAUGCAAGUUGAGCGCUGAAGGUUGGUACUUGUACCAACUGGAUGAGCAGCGAACGGGUGAGUAACGCGUGGGGAAUCUGCCUUUGAGCGGGGGACAACAUUUGGAAACGAAUGCUAAUACCGCAUAAAAACUUUAAACACAAGUUUUAAGUUUGAAAGAUGCAAUUGCAUCACUCAAAGAUGAUCCCGCGUUGUAUUAGCUAGUUGGUGAGGUAAAGGCUCACCAAGGCGAUGAUACAUAGCCGACCUGAGAGGGUGAUCGGCCACAUUGGGACUGAGACACGGCACAAACUCCUACGGGAGGCAGCAGUAGGGAAUCUUCGGCAAUGGACGAAAGUCUGACCGAGCAACGCCGCGUGAGUGAAGAAGGUUUUCGGAUCGUAAAACUCUGUUGGUAGAGAAGAACGUUGGUGAGAGUGGAAAGCUCAUCAAGUGACGGUAACUACCCAGAAAGGGACGGCUAACUACGUG
rnacentral:rRNA from 1 species